rnacentral:lncRNA from 1 species
GCUUAUCUGCUUUUGAGAAGCUUUGUUUUCUAUUUGUCCCUUUUAUUUACAACUUGUCUUUGCUUGAUUCAAUCGGGGGAUUGAAUCAAGAGUCUUGAGGUUGGUUGGUGAGCCGAGUGUAAAACCAACGUGUGUAAGAGUUCGAUUGUGAUCCCGCGAAAACAAUCGGGGUGUUCUAGUCGGUGAGCCUGGAAAAACCGACCGAGUUCGUUGUGAGCUCGUAAAACAACAAGUUUGGUUGUGAGCUUGUAAAACAACCGGCUGUAAUCCAAGGGGUUAUAGUGAAUUCCCAAGUGAGACUUGGGGAGUGGACGUAGGAGCAAGGGUUAGCUCCGAACCACUAUAAAAUCCUUGUGUUUGUGAUUGUUUGUCUCUUUUCUUUACUCUCAUUUCAUUCACAGCACAUAGCAAUUAAUUAAUUAUCUGGGUAAAGUAUUAAUUAGUCAUCCACAACGUUUUAAAUAGCCAAAUUCUUUUAAAACCCAAUUCACCCCCCCUCUUGGGUUGUCUAUCUGGGCAACA